rnacentral:rRNA from 1 species
AAAAGUCGUAACAAGGUUUCCGUAGGUGAACCUGCGGAAGGAUCAUUAUUGAAAUAAACCUGAUGAGUUGCUGCUGGCUCUCUAGGGAGCAUGUGCACACUUGUCAUCUUUAUAUCUCCACCUGUGCACCUUUUGUAGAUCUGGAUAUCUCUCUGAGCGCUUAGCAAUUCAGGUUUGAGGAUUGACUUUAUUGUCUCUCCUUACAUUUCCAGACCUAUGUUUCUUUAUAUACCCCAAUGUAUGUCAUAGAAUGUAGUUAAUGGGCCUUUGUGCCUAUAAAUCUAUACAACUUUCAGCAACGGAUCUCUUGGCUCUCGCAUCGAUGAAGAACGCAGCGAAAUGCGAUAAGUAAUGUGAAUUGCAGAAUUCAGUGAAUCAUCGAAUCUUUGAACGCACCUUGCGCUCCUUGGUAUUCUGAGGAGCAUGCCUGUUUGAGUGUCAUUAAUAUAUAUCAACCUCUACAACUUUUGUUUGUUGAGUUGUUGGAUGUGGGGGCUCUUGCUGGCUUCUCUGAGGUCAGCUCCCCUGAAAUACAUUAGCAGAACGAUCCCCGUUCAUUGGUGUGAUAACUAUCUACGCUAUUGACGUGAAGUAGUUUGGCUUAUAACAGUCCAUUGACUUGGACAAAUUUUCAUUAAUGUGACCUCAAAUCAGGUAGGACUACC